AAAAAAGGAAAAAUAAAAAAAAUUAAAAUUUAAAAAUUCUAUCUUAUCCUAAACUAUCUCAACCACCCCCAUUUUUUCCUCAACUCCCUCAACCUCCCACAUUACACCCCUAUAUAUACACACUGCAACACACGAAAAAGAAAAUGCAAAAAACAACAAGAGAAGGCAAACUCACGGACAAAAACCAAAAGGGAGAAAACAACAUUUGGUGAAAGGAGGAGUGAGAUUAGAAAAAUACAAGACACAAAACUUGAGAAAACAAACAAAAAAUAAAAAACAAAAUAAAAUAAGAAAUUUAGAAACAGAAGAAAGCAAGAUGGAAAAAGAUUAAAGAAGGGAAAAAGAAAGCAAAAGAAAUGGGCCAAGGAUAUGAGGUUUUCGUUCGAGUUUCUGGUGACGACGUUCUUGUUUCAAUACUUAGUUAAUUUGUCAUACAGGACUCUCCUAAAGAUUGGGACAAGACCCUCCUGAAGAAUGGAAAUUUAUUUUAUGCUCAGGACCCUCCUGAAGAAUGGACAGGACCUUUCUGAAGAAUGGGAAUCUAUUUUAUGCUCAGGACCCUCCUGAAAAAUGAAAACUUAUUUUAUGCUUAGGACCCUCCUGAAGAAUACGACAUGACCCUCCUGAAGAAUGAAAAUUUAUUUUAUGCUCAGGACCCUUCUGAAGAAUGGGACAGGACCCUCCUGAAGAAUGAGAAUUUAUUUUAUGCUCAGGACCCUCCUAAAGAAUGGGACAGGACCAUCCUGAAGAAUGAAAAUUUAUUUUAUGUUCAGGACCCUCCUGAAGAAUGAGAAUUUAUUUUAUGCUCAGGACCCUCCUGAAAAAUGGAAUCUAUUUUUAUGCUCAGGACCCUCCUAAAGAAUGGGAUGUUAUUUUUUUGUUUCACCUUUUAUGUUGAGUUCAGGAACAUAUUUAAAAAAUCAAAAAUAAAAAGUCCAGGAGCCCGCCUGAAAAGGAAGGUAAAUAAAAGAGAAAGUCCAGGAGCCCGCCUGAAGAACAGGGUGAAGAAAUUAUAAGUCCAAGAGCCCGUCCGAAGAACAGGGUGAAGAAAAGAGAAAGUCCAGGAUCCCGCCUGAAGAACAGGGUAAAAAAAUAUUAAGUCCAGGAGCCCACCUGAAGAACAUGGUGAAGAAAUUGUAAGUUCAGGAGCCCGCCUGAAGAACAGGGUGAAGAAAAAGGAAGUCCAGGGGCCCGUCUGAAGAAUAGGUGAAGAAAAAAGAAAAUUCAAGAGCCUGCCUGAAGAAUGGGGUGAACAUUAUCAGUUGAAAGUCAGGAGCCCGCCUGAAGAAUAGGGUGAAUUUUCAAGUUCAAGUCAUGAAGAUUUAAGUCAAGAUUCUAGAGAAACUGAAUAAAUAGGAUUCUUUCACUUGUAUCUUCAAUUUUAUUUUUGUUAUUCAUGUGGAUGUAAAAGCAGAAUGUCGUGAACCAAAAACUCGAUGGAACCUGACUCGAUAUCUAA